AGGCAUUACUUCACACGUUUCAGACAUAUCAAUACAGAUAUACCAUUAUGAAUCACAAAGUUCUCUUCCUCGUGCUGCUUCUUGUCGCUGUGCAACAAGUAGAAUGUAGCCUCCGCAAAAUAGAUUGGACGAAAUGGAACGUAAAACAAGCUGAACAAGAAUCUUCCGAUGAUGCUCCCGAAAUACUGAAGAAAACGUUCGACUCCUAUUAUUUGCAAUAAAUUGCAAUGGAAAUUGAGCGAGCUUGCACCAAAUAAACAAAGAAU